rnacentral:rRNA from 1 species
GCAAACUAGGGGGGCAGCAGUGAGGAAUAUUGGUCAAUGGUCGGGAGACUGAACCAGCCAAGCCGCGUGAGGGAUGAAGGUACAGAGUAUCGUAAACCUCUUUUGUCAGGGAACAAAGGCGGGGUCGUGUCCCCGGAUGAGUGUACCUGAAGAAAAAGCAUCGGCUAACUCCGUGCCAGCAGCCGCGGUAAUACGGAGGAUGCGAGCGUUAUCCGGAUUUAUUGGGUUUAAAGGGUGCGCAGGCGGUCUGUUAAGUCAGCGGUCAAAGCCCGGGGCUCAACCCCGGCCCGCCGGUGAAACUGGCG